GACGAACGCUGGCGGCGUGUUUAACACAUGCAAGUCGAACGGAAAGGCCCUGCUUGCAGGGUACUCGAGUGGCGAACGGGUGAGUAACACGUGGGUGAUCUGCCCUGCACUUCGGGAUAAGCCUGGGAAACUGGGUCUAAUACCGGAUAGGAGCCAUUUUUAGUGUGAUGGUUGGAAAGUUUUUUCGGUGUAGGAUGAGCUCGCGGCCUAUCAGCUUGUUGGUGGGGUAAUGGCCUACCAAGGCGGCGACGGGUAGCCGGCCUGAGAGGGUGGACGGCCACAUUGGGACUGAGAUACGGCCCAGACUCCUACGGGAGGCAGCAGUGGGGAAUAUUGCACAAUGGGCGCAAGCCUGAUGCAGCGACGCCGCGUGGGGGAUGACGGCCUUCGGGUUGUAAACUCCUUUCGCUAGGGACGAAGCUUUUGUGACGGUACCUAGAUAAGAAGCACCGGCUAACUACGUG
rnacentral:rRNA from 1 species